rfam:Oryza rufipogon genomic scaffold, chr08
AAAGAGUGUAGUUUUGUACUGUUAUAUCCAACGUUUGACAGUUCAUCUUAUUUAAAAACAAUAUGAUUAUUAUUUUUGUUAUUAUUCGUUGAUAAAGAAUAAAAUAUAGUACUUUAUGUGUGACUAUUUUUUUAUUUUUAUAAAUUUUUAAAUAAGACAUACGGUUAAACGUUAGACACGAAAACCCACAACCACACUUAAA